CAAGAUCCUCAUCCCCGGCCUCUUCUAAGAGGGGGGGGCGGGCCGGUGGCGUUCCGUCCGGACGGGGGAGGGACGCUUUUUUUUUUUUUGG
rnacentral:ribozyme from 1 species